AUUAAUUAAACAAGACAUUAGAUCUAAUUAAGUUAGGCAGAUAUUAAAAUAAAGUUUGGGCACCGAAUAAAAUAUCCACCAAAGUUGUUUCCAAAAUCAUCAUUAAAAUAAAUUUUACUGGAUCUGCCUAACUUAAUAUUAAAAGAAAGAUUCAAGAUGUGAUAAAAAAUGAAAUUAAACUAUUUGUUAAAAACCAUUUCCCUUUUGACUUUAUUUUAGAUCUCAUCAUUUAUCCAGCUUUGAUUUUUUUAUUUUUUCAAUUUUUAUGUGAGAAAGACACUCAAUAAUUGUUUUCAAAUACAAACAAAUUACAAACUAAAUAACUCCAAGUUGUGGAGGCUGCCAAGACUUUCAUGGGAGGUGUCAAAUAUAUAUGUGAUUGAAUUUGAAAAUUAUUUAAAAUAAAAAAUUGUUAUGGAUAGUAGAAAAGAAUUAUAACUACAAAGUAUAGUCUUUAAUUUGAUAAUUUUUUCGCAAUAUUUAAAAAUGUAGUCAUUCUUCUUAUCUUAUGUCAUAUUGAAAUAUUAUUCAGGUAAAAAACAACAUUCUCUAUUUUCUUAAAUGAAUAAUUUGUUAGGUAUUAGAAAUACUUUUUAAUUGGAUAUACCAAGGAAACACUAUUCUCCACUUAGCGAUACAUAGCAAUGUUGAUGUCAAAAUUUCGUCAACAAAUAUUGGUGUGACCUUAGUUUGGCAACAAUGGUGAAUUUGUAAUUUUGGGAUAAGUUGAUCUGCAAAAAUCCGAAUAAGGUUGGGCACACUGAUGUGGUGUAAACUACACUGGUUUCGGUACUUAGUAAGUUUACAAGAAAAUCUGUAAUGAAAGUAUAAUCAAAUGCACAUAAGACAACGUACCUUCUUUGUGCUUCCAUCAUCCUUCUAUUUAUAAGGUCCUAUCUUUUCUUUUCACAGUAGGUUUUCUUCAAUCGUCAUCCAUGUUAGCUUUCGAGAUCUGGACCCUCCUUGACCCAAAGUUGAGCCUUCCAUUAUAGGUGUCGGUUAAUUUCCUGUAAUGACCCAAAUUUUUAAUAACCAAGCUGGAGUCAUUACUAAUCUAAUUAUCUUUAACUUUCUAAAAACAAUAACGGAAGCAUAAACCAAGUAGUUCCUAUAUGGCUAGUCACAGGUUCUUCUUCUUGUCGCUCGUUAGCUUGCCUUUCCUCUUACCUUUGUCUGAAAAGUUAAACAUGAAAAUGGUGAGUAUAAAUAUAGUACACACAGUAAGGGAUUCACUACUGGUCUUGCUAGGUAAACCGAUAACUUCCUAUUAGGAGGUACCCUGAGUCGUCAUAUCAGUCUAGUGAUCUCGUAGGAACACAAAUCAGGCAUCAAGUGAACCUAAACGUACACUUAACAGUCAAUCAGUCAUCAAUAUCAGUCUAAAGGUAGUGAUCUCGAGGGACUUCGUACAUGUGCAGAGUACACUAGCCUAAGAACUAAAGGUAACAACUACCAUUAGACCAAAUAGGCAUAUUGCAAUCAAACUUAGUCUAAUAAUAGGCAUAAACAUAACAUGCAAUAUCAACCAACAAACUUCAUAGUUACGUAUUCAGUAAAAUAAAUAAAUCAAUACAAUUUUUGUCAAACUCUCACAUAAGACUAUCAAUGCAUUUUAAUUAUGUGCAUGUUAGUCAAUCCAUACAAUACAACUUAAAUCUUAAAUCGAAGGUUCGGUAGUAGAAAUCUCUUACCUCAAAAUAGAAUUAAACUCCUUUGCAAAGUUCCUUGAUGCAAAUCAAACCACAAAUUAACCUAAACAUAAGUAAAAUAAUUAAUAAUUUUACUUAACAAAAUUAUCAAUUAUGGUCAAAUAGUAAUCCUUGAUAGGCAUGCAAAAAGCAUCGUACUUUUUACCGUAAGCAUUCCUAAGUUACCACAGGUUACUCAAAUUCAUUGCACUUUACACAUUCCACGAUAGCCUUAGACCAAACCAAUUACUACCCUUAAUAAACUAUCAGUAACUCAUAAUUAAGUCAAUAGUUAUCCAUCACAAUUAUUACAGUAACACAUAGGAUAUGCAAAUAACUCUCCAUAACAGUUAUCAAAGUACCCCAUAAGCCAAAUAAACAAUUCAUCAACAAUGGACUUGCAGUAAACUAAUUGACAACAUACCAUAUUAGUAAUCCAUAGUAGGCAUGUAAACAAUCAUCAUACUUCACAACCAUCAGAGUCUAAUUCACAACAUACUAUAUCAGUAAUUCAUAAUAGACAUGUAAAUAAUUAUCAUACUUCACAACAAGCAUAGACAAUUUCCAUUGUAAGCAUACGCAAAUAAUUAUCUUGUACACCUUAACCUAAUUCAAUGACUACCCUUCACAAUUUAAUUAAAGCUAACCUUAGGUUAUACAGAUAAUUCACCAUUACAAACAUAUCACAGACUAUGCAUAAAGUCGUAUCACCAUUAAUUAUCACAGCGUAACUGAACCCUUAAUCGAGUAUCCAGUAGUAGAAUAACUCUUACCUUAGGUUAUGCUAAGUUCCUUUGUUGCAAAUGAAAACCACAAUUUUACUUAUGCAUAACCAAAAUUAAAUUAACGAUUUUCAACAAAUUACUAAUUUAAUUACCUUAGCUUACCAAAUGGAAGUUGAAAAUGCUCUCAAUCUUGAUGGAAAAAUUCAUCACUUAAAUCCAUGUUUUUUCAAAGGGACCUUCCAAACGUAUGCAACCAAAAUCAAUUUUAAUAAUAAACUUAAUUUAGAGUUUCUCAAUUCACUUUUAUUGGGUAUUAAAAUCCUACACAAAGACAAAAAACACUCAAGCAACUCACCAAUCUUAAACCAAAUCGGUGAGCAUGAUGACAGACAACACACAACUCAUCCAGAUGAGGUUGGACGAAGAAGAAAGCGAUAUCGAAGAACAACGAAGAAGAAUUAAGGGAGAGAGUUAGCAACUCGAGUACGUUGGGGAAAAAGAUGAAUAUAUUUU
rnacentral:lncRNA from 1 species